rnacentral:rRNA from 1 species
GCUGUAAACCUAGCCCUCAAAAAACAAUAACCCUCAAAUCCCAACUAAAUCAUUUACACUCUUUAGUAUAGGUGAUAAAAAAAGAAAUAAGCGCAACAGACAGAGUACCGUAAGGGAAAGAUGAAAUAGCUAUGAAAUAAACACCAAAGCACUAAAAAGCAGAGAUACAUCCUCGUACCUUUUGCAUCAUGGUCUAGCAAGAAACCUUAAGCAAAACGCAUUAAAGUUUAACCCCCCGAAACUAGACGAGCUACUCCGAGGCAGCUAUAAGAGCAAACCCAUCUCUGUGGCAAAAGAGUGGGAAGACCCCCGAGUAGAGGUGACAAGCCUACCGAGCCUAGUGAUAGCUGGUUGCUUACGAAGAGAAUAUUAGUUCUGCCUCAUAACUGUUUAAAGCACUAUAAAGCAAACAACAAACUUGAGAGUUAGUCAAAAGGGGUACAGCCCAUUUGACUCAGGAAACAACCUAACACCCGGGGUAAAGAUUAUAAUAAACAAGGAUUUUGACCCAGUGGGCCUAAAAGCAGCCACCUGUUAAGAAAGCGUCAUAGCUCUAUCAGCACCCGACCCAACAAUCCCAAUAACCACUCUGAUCCCUCCUAGUAGUAAGCCCUCCUAUUCACAUAUAGAAUUGUUUAUGCUAGAACUAGUAACUAGAAUAAUUCUCCUAAUGCAAGUGCACAUCAGCCCGAAACACUCACUGAUAACUAACGACUACUGAACCCACUGUAGUAACACCCCCCAGAAAAACCUACACUAACCAUCGUUAACCUAACACAAGAGCAUCCCAGAAAAGAUUUAAAGACGUGGAAGGAACUCGGCAAACACGAACUUCGCCUGUUUACCAAAAACAUCGCCUCUUGUCAACUAUAAGAGGUCCCGCCUGCCCAGUGACUACAUGUUCAACGGCCGCGGUAUUAUGACCGUGCAAAGGUAGCGUAAUCACUUGUCUUUUAAAUAAAGUCUAGUAUGAAAGGCACCACGAAAGUUCAACUGUCUCCCACAUCUAAUCAGUGAAACUGAUCCCCCCGUGCAGAAACGGGGAUACUCUCAUAAGACGAGAAGACCCCAUGGAGCUUCAAACACGCAAGCAGCCGCUUUAAACCUCAUCUAACCACAAGCAAGCGGACAUGACCAGCUGUUUUCGGUUGGGGCGACCACGGAGAACAAAAAAUCCUCCGAGACGAAAGGGCCAACCCCCCUUACCCAAGAAUCACCACUCUAAGGAAUUGAAUAUCUAACAUCAUGAUCCAAUAUUUGAUCAACGAACCAAGUUACCCUGGGGAUAACAGCGCAAUCCAUUUUUAGAGCCCCUAUCGACAAAUGGGUUUACGACCUCGAUGUUGGAUCAGGGUACCCCAGUGGUGCAGCCGCUACUAAAGGUUCGUUUGUUCAACGAUUAAAACCCUACGUGAUCUGAGUUCAGACCGGAGCAAUCCAGGUCAGUUUCUAUCUAUGCAAUGCUCUCUCUAGUACGAAAGGACCGAAAGAACCUGGCCAAUGCUAAUGCAAGCCCUAACUUAGCCUUAGUGAAAUCAGCUCAACUAAGACAAAAAUUGCAACUAAGCCCGAGAUAAGGGCUU